UGCAGUCGAACGAUGAAGCCCAGCUUGCUGGGUGGAUUAGUGGCGAACGGGUGAGUAACACGUGAGUAACCUGCCCUUGACUCUGGGAUAAGCCUGGGAAACUGGGUCUAAUACCGGAUAUGACCUUCCAUCGCAUGGUGGUUGGUGGAAAGCUUUUGUGGUUUUGGAUGGACUCGCGGCCUAUCAGCUUGUUGGUGGGGUAAUGGCCUACCAAGGCGAUGACGGGUAGCCGGCCUGAGAGGGUGACCGGCCACACUGGGACUGAGACACGGCCCAGACUCCUACGGGAGGCAGCAGUGGGGAAUAUUGCACAAUGGGCGCAAGCCUGAUGCAGCGACGCCGCGUGAGGGAUGACGGCCUUCGGGUUGUAAACCUCUUUCAGUAGGGAAGAAGCGAAAGUGACGGUACCUGCAGAAGAAGCGCCGGCUAACUACGUGCCAGCAGCCGCGGUAAUACGUAGGGCGCAAGCGUUAUCCGGAAUUAUUGGGCGUAAAGAGCUCGUAGGCGGUUUGUCGCGUCUGCUGUGAAAGACCGGGGCUCAACUCCGGUUCUGCAGUGGGUACGGGCAGACUAGAGUGAUGUAGGGGAGACUGGAAUUCCUGGUGUAGCGGUGAAAUGCGCAGAUAUCAGGAGGAACACCGAUGGCGAAGGCAGGUCUCUGGGCAUUAACUGACGCUGAGGAGCGAAAGCAUGGGGAGCG
rnacentral:rRNA from 1 species